GGGCCGGUAACUCAGUGGUAGAGGUUAGUUCACCUAUAUCUUCACUCCACAACUCCGUCUAACAAAUACACAGUGUAGGACUGCAGCUCACCAAAGCCGUCUUCCCGAAGUCACCGGUUCGACUCCGGUUCGGCCCU